CCUACGGGAGGCAGCAGUAGGGAAUAUUGCUCAAUGGGGGAAACCCUGAAGCAGCAACGCCGCGUGGAGGAUGAAGGUUUUCGGAUUGUAAACUCCUUUUGUUAGAGAAGAUAAUGACGGUAUCUAACGAAUAAGCACCGGCUAACUCCGUGCCAGCAGCCGCGGUAAUACGGAGGGUGCAAGCGUUACUCGGAAUCACUGGGCGUAAAGAGCGCGUAGGCGGGAUAGCAAGUCAGAUGUGAAAUCCUAUGGCUUAACCAUAGAACUGCAUUUGAAACUGGUAUUCUAGAGUAUGGGAGAGGUAGGUGGAAUUCUUGGUGUAGGGGUAAAAUGCGUAGAGAUCAAGAAGAAUACUCAUUGCGAAGGCGACCUGCUAGAACAUAACUGACGCUGAUGCGCGAAAGCGUGGGGAGCAAACAGGAUUAGAUACCCCAGUAGUC
rnacentral:rRNA from 1 species